UGCACUUCGUCAAAGCAUAUUAUCAACCGCCGCGCGUCGUGAUGGCGCAAAGAGGGAAGGAAAACGAGUGAGUAAAAUGGGCCCAUAAUACUCAGGAGAGACCCCGAAAACAGACAAGAAUAAAAUCCUCAUCAAAUCUGUGCUUGAUAUGUUAUUUAAGUCAGUCAAAUUCUAAGACAACCGGUUCGUGCAACCCCAGUAAAACAAGAAGGACAAGAUGACGUGAUCAAUUUUCAGAGAACAGUUGAUAAGAAGUCUAUCUUCAAGGCCAAAAUUCGCCCCUUAGGAGUGAGGUAGUUUAGAGGUAGACCCCGAUAGAUAGUUUACUAAAGGCCUGAUAAAUCGAACUAGCUAAAGUAUUAGAGUAAAGAGUUCUUAGAAUACGAAAUAUUUACAAAAAUGUAAACAAAAAAGACGGCGGGGCAAUGUUUCGACGUCUUAAUUUGCAUCUCAAAACUCACAACCCAAAUCUACUCACCAUUAUUGCAUAAUGUAUUGAAAAACGCACAUGAGCUAGCUUGUGACUCCAACUUUAAUUAUUUAGGUUUCGUUUUACUUGUUUUACAAAUUUAAUAAGGAUAAUUUGAAAUUUUCUUUAAUGCCCAUUUUGACGGAUUUUCCCGCGAAUUUCGCGCGUUUUUUGCCUCUAACUUAUAAAAUCACGCGCAAGUGCUCAUGGACAGGGUGUCAACCCCCCCAGAUGCGUGACUAGUGUUUGCAGCGCGCGUGGUUUAGCAAAAAUCUUUAGCUAGGGUUUUAAAAAACCCUACAGUCUUCGUUUUUUAGUUUCCUUUUGUAAGGAUGGAAAAUAAAUUUACUAGGAAAGGUUUAGAAC